UACGUAGGGGGGCAAGCGUUGUCCGGAUUUACUGGGCGUAAAGAGCGUGUAGGCGGCCACGCAGGUCCGUUGUGAAAACUGGAGGCUCAACCUCCAGCUGUCGACGGAAACCGUAUGGCUAGAGUCCGGAAGAGGAGAGUGGAAUUCCUGGUGUAGCGGUGAAAUGCGCAGAUAUCAGGAAGAACACCAAUGGCGAAGGCAGCUCUCUGGGACGGUACUGAGCUGAGACGCGAAAGCGUGGGGAGCAAACAGG
rnacentral:rRNA from 1 species